UACGUAGGCAGCGAGCGUUGUUCGGAAUUACUGGGCGUAAAGAGUGUGUAGGCGGUGCUCCCAGUCUGUUGUGAAAUCUCCCGGCUUAACUGGGAGGGUGCAGCGGAAACUAGAGUGCUAGAGGGUGGGAGAGGUAAGCGGAAUUCCUGGUGUAGCGGUGAAAUGCGUAGAUAUCAGGAGGAACACCAAGUGCGAAGGCAGCUCGCUGGGACGUCACUGACGCUGAGACGCGAAAGCGUGGGGAGCAAACAGG
rnacentral:rRNA from 1 species